UCCACAUCUGGAAAGCAAGCCAGUGCUAGAAACGACCAAAUCACAUAGAGGUACAUAGAGCUGGUGGCGUUUGUCCAAUUUCGUUUCCAACAUGAGCACGCCAGGCGACGGUCCCAAGACGGAGUGGCCGGAGCUGGUCGGGCGCACGAUCAAGGAGGCGAAGGAGAAGAUCAAGGCGGACCGGCCGGACCUCAAAGUCAGAAUUGUCCCGGUAGGAAGUACUAUUGUGACAGCAGACUUCGAUUUGAAUCGCGUUCGCGUCUGGGUCGAUACGGUGGCAGAGGUUCCCAAGAUUGGCUAAGCUAGCUUAAUUAGCCUAUACUGGAAUAAAGGCCCAUGCAAGUCUCCACUUCGUUCAGUUAAUCUGCCGAAUAAAUAAGCAUGGGUGCAGUCUGGAAAAAAAA